rnacentral:misc_RNA from 1 species
UUGAAAUCAAAAAUUCAUAUAAAUCCUUGCGCAAGAGUCCCAAUCUCCAGACCCUAAUUGUAUUGGAACAGCUAUAUGAACAAAUCAAGCUUAGUGAACCUGAGAAAAAUGGUAACUACCAUAUAUAUCGAAACAGAGAUUACAGGGUAUUUAUACCCAGGUUCAGCACAUGCUAUACACGUGCACAUACAACAAAAACAAAGUAAAGCUUAUAUCACAACCCUCUUGGCUUAUUCCAGCCCAGCAAUCCAGCCGAUACUUCUACACUAUAAAUAUAUUAUAUGUCCUGAAUCAUGCUUCAAGAUUCAGGAGUGUAAGCCUAAAUUCUAGAUAUGUGCAUUACUCAAUAUUUUUCAUGGAGACAUAAAUAGCAUGCAUCAUAAAAGGCACGUAGAUGCCCAAAGCAAGCAGAACAAUGGCGAUCAGCGAUCCUGCUGCCCUGAACGCAUAUACACUCCCACACGAAAUCUUCCCUACUCGAAUUUGUAUUACAUCCACCAUCGACGCUGUCAAGAAAACGCAACCAAGAAUCGACCCCCAGGCUGACAUCAACAGCAUCCCUCCUCUGAUAAUCUUGAAUUUUAUUUUCCUGAAAUCUUUUUCCCUGUAUAUGUUGAGAUGAACCUUAAGAGUCUUGGCUACAAGGCUGGAUAGCAGGAAGAAAGCAAAUGACAGCACCUCGCUCACUACAAGCCGUUUGGCUAGCCUCCUGUCUGGGUCGCACUCGGCACGGUCCUCCAGGCUGUGCUCGCCCGGAUGAGCUAAGGAUAAGCCAACAAACACGGCUAUUGUGAAGAGCGAGUUCACGUUGACAAGGUCGUCUAGUGCUUUCUGAUGGAUGUCUAUUGUGUCCAGCACUUUAUGCGUAUUUAACCGUUCCAUGACUGAUAUUUUCUGUAGCUCUUCCUGCAUAUGCAGUUGGGACAUUGACUACCUUUCGUUUUUAAGCAUUACAAAAGGGGAAGGACUGAAAGAAACACGAGAUGCUAAUUAGCCUAUAAUGAACGCAUAAAUGAAAAAUUGGAAUUUUAUUCUGGAAGCAACUAUUUCCCGUGGUGCAAAUUUGCAGGUCUUUCAAAUGAAUAAUCUCCAUACGAUACGUUUUGUUAUUGGGGGAACCUUUUUCUCCUGAAUGUUCAUAUUCAGGAAAGAAUAGUUGAACAAUUAAAAGCAGUUGCAAGCUUGCAACAUCAAUCACUAAACCCCAGUAAUUGUUGGAGAAAACAGUUUAGAAAGGAAUAAUCAAGUCUUUUAGGGCAACCCAGACACUAAAAAUUUUAAAAUUACCAUGUAACAAGUUUUAAGUUUAAAUUCUGUCAUAUUUCAUUAAAUAUUUUGAUAUAUUAAAAUAUUAAAACCAUGAGUCUACAAGUUCAAACUCCGUCAAGGCUUAAUAUAAAAAAUUACUAAUGGUAAACUGUCUCUCUCUAUAUAUAUAUAGAGAGA